UGUAGCACCUGCAGAGAGCUCUAUGUAAGCCUCAGGUGCCGGUUGACCAUUCAGUUGUGGCAGGAACUAUGGGAGGAAUUUGGCUUCUGGGUUUUUGUGCAGUCGCAUUGUGGCUUAAAGGGUCUUGUUUACCGAUUGAUCAUAAUGGAGGAAUACAUUAUGAACCAAAAGGGACUGGAAACUCAUUGUCCCAAAACAAGAUUCCUCUAGAGAAAACAGUUGCUUUACUCCAGUCAAUGGAUUCCAGGUUGCUGGGAACUUCAAAAGAAGUGCAACUGGAAACCAACGAAGUGGAAUUGGACAACGUGUCAAGCGACGCCUCCCACAACGUGUCAAGCGACGCCUCCCACAACGUGUCAAGCGACGCCUCCCACAACGUGUCAAGCGACGCCUCCCACAACGUG